AAACUUAAAUGAAUUGACGGGGACCCGCACAAGCAGCGGAGCGUGUGGUUUAAUUCGUUGCUACACGAAGAACCUUACCUGGGUUUGACAUAUAGGUUGUAGGGAACUGAAAAGGGACCGACCCUUCGGGAGCCUAUACAGGUGUUGCAUGGCUGUCGUCAGCUCGUGUCGUGAGAUGUUCGGUUAAGUCCGCUAACGAGCGCAACCCUCGUCGUAUGUUAUAUGUGUCAUACGAGACUGCCGGUAAAAAGCCGGAGGAAGGUGGGGAUGAUGUCAAGUCAGCAUGGCCUAUAUAUCCUGGGCUACACACACGCUACAAUGGUCGGUACAAUGGGUCGCUAAGCCGCGAGGCGGAGCCAAUCCUAAAAAGCCGGCCCCAGUUCAGAUUGCAGGCUGCAACUCGCCUGCAUGAAGAUGGAGUUGCUAGUAACCGCAGGUCAGCAAUACUGCGGUGAAUACGUUCCCGGGCCUU
rnacentral:rRNA from 1 species